GCAGGGCCGUUAGCGGGGAUUGCUAGGAAAAGGGCGUCACACGCACACACACACACCAACGUGCACAUAUAUAUAUAUAUAUUUGCAAAAAUAUACGCCUUUCAAGACUGUCAAAGGAGCUGCCUGCCAUGGAAUUGCACGUGUGUCAUGCACGGACAAGUCGGAGGCGCCUGAGUCGCAACCUCCCAGCCGCCCGCGUGAGGAUGAGAGCAACGCCGACCGCACGGCAUCGAAGUCGGAGGUGCUCUCGCACAGCUCCUCCAGCAGCUGCGUGCCAGACCGCGAUCCUAAGGGCACCGGGGGAGAAAACGCCCCCGUGAGCGGCAGUGGUACACCGGAGGCGACGUCUGUGCCUGCUUCACAGCCUGCGAUAGCGACCACCGGCGCCACGGCGGCACUCAUGAGCCUUCCACAACAGUCGCUGUGUGAACAGGGGAAGGUGCACCCGGCCUACGCGGAGGCCGAGGAGGCCCACGGCGAGGCAGCAGAGGGAGUCGCCUACCAAUGCGCGGAGAAGCGUCCCUCCUCCAAGCACGGUGACACCGUUGCAUCAGAGAACCGCUUAACUGGCGCCUCCACUUCAUCGGCGCACGAUUCGGUUUGCGAAGCGGGUUCUUCCGGCGCGCCAGUAGCACCGCACCUCUCCUCGGGCCGGACGCAGGUGCCGGCAGUGCUGCACAACGGUGCAGCGACUGCGCGGCAGAAGGCGGGGGAGGCGAAAGACAGAUCCUGUAGGCCACUCCAUCUAGCCUCCAACGACUACGUCAGGGCGUACGCGCUCAGCUUGGCAUCCUCUUCAUCGCUGCCGCGCCAGACGCCAGCUCAUGCCGUGGUGCACCGCCACACACCCGAUCGGUCGCCGGAGACGAAGUGGAACGCAUCACGGGUAAGCACGACGGGCGCGGCGCAGCACGAGAUGCUACCGCCCAUCAGUGUCGGCUCCAAAAGCAAGCCACGCGUGCGUAGUAGCAACUCCAGCAGAAAAACGCGCACCGCACCCAACAAGGUCUCAAAAGCCGCCCCCACGUCUCGUUCGAUGCCAGCCGUCAGUCAUGCGUCAAACGCGUUGAGCGUGGCGGGGUCGGCGACGGCAAGGGCCGUCGUGCCGACCGGGGCAUCGUACCGGACGCUGUACUCAACAACUGGGGGCGCCAUGAAGGGCCUGGUCGACCACGUGGAUAGCAACUCGUUCGGGUUCCACCUGCGGAAUAUGUUUCAGCGGAUCGACUUCGCAGAAGUUCAACGUGAAGCCCAGCGUGGUGAGAAAGAGAGCGCUGCCUUGCAGAUGUGUCGACGUCUCUUCCGUGUCAUCGCCAAGAACAAAGACUUCGUGAGCGUGGAGGAUUUGCACGAGCUAUUGUUGAUCUUCACGCCGUGCGGCGUGUCGCUUCGAGAGGGCGCGGAUUUCUUAUGGGAGGACUGCGGAGGCAAGUUAUCCUUGACUUUCCGCGACUUCCUGCGGUACGGGGCGGCGCUGCGCGCACGCCUGCGGGACUACGAACUCUUUGAACAGCUGUCGGACCAGCAGAAGCUGAUCGUCAUGCACGCACGCAUCCUGCCGGUUGAGCCUCCAGAUGACGCCAACACAGCGCGGGUGAACCUGCUGCGCGUGGCCGAUCACCAGAUGCAGGGCCAACUGCCGCGGCACACCCGUUCGCUGCGCUUGUACGAAGAACUCUUCCUUGUCGACUACCAUGAGCGACUUCACGACGCCGCGCUGAUUCCGGCGAGCGAGGUUCCACCACAGGGGCUGAAGAGCGACUACGCGCAUGAGUAUGGACGUGAGCAGCAAGGUAGACCGUUUCCCGCGCUCCCCCGCUGUCGGUGCCCGCCUUGAAGGAGGACAUGGAGUGGCGACACACAGAAGUUGUGUACUCCACCGAUAGCGACGCGAGCGACGCGGCCGUGCAUGCUGCAGCGGCUGAGAAGCGCGCUGCGGCAGCGCACAACGAGAGCGAGUACCCGACUCUGUCGCGAAGCAUUCACCUCGUGGGCGCAACCAAGGCUCCAGGCAAGGCAGGCAGUCGCACGGCGGGCCAGCGAAAGCACCCGCAGCGCAGAUACAAGGCCGCCGCGGCCUCAAGCAUGGGCGCCGGAGCGACGUACAGCGACAGAAGCCGUCGAACCGGGUUGGGUCAGAGAGGUUCGUGGUUGAUCUGCAGCGACAGCCGCUUCCGCCGCAGCAAAAGAAGAUGGGCCGCUUUGUGGAGGAGGAGUACUGGGAGCGGCGCAUCAUGGAUGACCACCUCAUCACACAGCUGCAGUCGAUGUACAAGACGCAGUAGGGAAAGGGCCUCGCUCGUUGGCAGCCCUGGUUUUGCUUUGGCGCGUCUGUGUCCCCACCUCUCUCCCGCGUUUUUCGACGCGUUUCACCGAUUCUUGUGCUGCAACGCACCUCUGGGCAGCGUCUGGUAUCCACCAUCACUCCGCCCUCGCCUCCCAGGCCCCACGACGUGGGUAUGUUCGCAAUUGUGGCGGUAAAACGAGAAAGGACGAGUCAACAAAAAAAACCGAAGAAGGGACUCGGUUUAGCGAGCCGACGGCAUACUCUUGCACGAGUCAUGAUGUCACUCUUUUCGUGCUUUUUCUUUCUUUGUCCUGCUUUACUGCUGAGCGAAGGAGGCGGUGCGCACAUUUCACAUUCUUUGCCUUCGCCGCUCGGCUCUCCCCUCCCUCCCUCUCCCAUCCUCCCCGUGCUGUGAUGGCCUCUCCGCUCUCCUUACGUUCUUUUCUGUUUUGUCGUUGCCGUUUCACGUGACCCUCUCGUACUCGGCACUUCGGCGUAUAUACAUCGCUCUAUAUACAUCUGAUAUAUGUAUAUAUACAGAUGUAUAGAUGCAGAUUUCUCUAUGGUAUGGAAUGCAUGUACAGCUGGGACUUCUCCCUCUUCGGUCCUCCUCUCAACAAACGCGCGCACACACAUACACAUACUGACGCAAACACCUCUGGAACACGGGCACACUCUCGUUGUGUGCUCUCUAUCAUGCGUCUUAUAGCCUCUCUCUUCGCUUAAACACUUCAUGUCUCUCUCCCUUCUUCAUCGAGUGGUUGUCGUCUUGCCCUCGGCCGUUUGCUGCGCGGCUCUGGUACAUUGGUUCUCUGUUUCUUUUUCAGUUUCUCGUCCUUCUCUGCGCUUGUGCUUC
rnacentral:misc_RNA from 1 species